rnacentral:lncRNA from 1 species
AUGAACGACAUGGAGUCAGAAAAGUAUCCAGUCAUUUAUACGAGCUCUGAAAUGAGUCGGAACAGAGAAACCUGCCUGGGAGCACUGGGACCCCCAACUGGGAGCACUGGGGUCAUACUGGGAGCACUGGGACCCCCAACUGGGAGCACUGGGAGCUCUGGGGUGGUGCUUGAAGAGCUGUGUCUCUGGCAUCGCACUGGUCCGUACUGGUUUUUACUGGUCUAUAUGGUCCAUACUGGUCUGUACUGGUUCUUACUGGCCCAUAUGGUCCAUACUGGUUUGUACUGGUCCGUACUGGUCCGUACUGGUUCUUUCUGGCCCACAUGGUCCAUAGUGGUUUUCCCUGAACGCAUCGAUCCCUGAACGCAUCGAUCCCUGAACGCAUCGAUCCCUGAACCCAUCGAUCCCUGAACCCAUCGAUCACUGAACCAAUCGAUCGAUGAACUCGCACUCAGGGUCCCGGGGGGG